rnacentral:rRNA from 1 species
UUUUCAGAGAUGGUUUGGUGCCUUCGGGAACUCUGAGACAGGGGCUGCAUGGCUGUCGUCAGCUCGUGUUGUGAAAUGUUGGGUUAAGUCCCGCAACGAGCGCAACCCUUAUCCUUUGUUGCCAGCGGUUCGGCCGGGAACUCAAAGGAGACUGCCAGUGAUAAACUGGAGGAAGGUGGGGAUGACGUCAAGUCAUCAUGGCCCUUACGAGUAGGGCUACACACGUGCUACAAUGGCGCAUACAAAGAGAAGCGACCUCGCGAGAGCAAGCGGACCUCAUAAAGUGCGUCGUAGUCCGGAUUGGAGUCUGCAACUCGACUCCAUGAAGUCGGAAUCGCUAGUAAUCGUAGAUCAGAAUGCUACGGUGAAUACGUUCCCGGGUCUUGUACACACCG